GAUGAACGCUGGCGGCGUGCCUAAUACAUGCAAGUCGAGCGAACGGACGAGAAGCUUGCUUCUCUGAUGUUAGCGGCGGACGGGAGAGUAACACGUGGAUAACCUACCUAUAAGACUGGGAUAACUUCGGGAAACCGGAGCUAAUACCGGAUAAUAUUUUGAACCGCAUGGUUCAAAAGUGAAAGACGGUCUUGCUGUCACUUAUAGAUGGAUCCGCGCUGCAUUAGCUAGUUGGUAAGGUAACGGCUUACCAAGGCAACGAUGCAUAGCCGACCUGAGAGGGUGAUAGGCCACACUGGAACUGAGAGACGGUCCAGACUCCUACGGGAGGCAGCAGUAGGGAAUCUUCCGCAAUGGGCGAAAGCCUGACGGAGCAACGCCGCGUGAGUGAUGAAGGUCGUCGGAUCGUAAAACUCUGUUAUUAGGGAAGAACAUAUGUGUAAGUAACUGUGCACAUCUUGACGGUACCUAAUCAGAAAGCCACGGCUAACUACGUG
rnacentral:rRNA from 1 species